rnacentral:rRNA from 1 species
CUGUUGAGCUCCACUCUAGUCUGGCAGAGUAAACAGACAGUAUUAAGUGCGAGGCACACCUUGAGGGCAUAGGGAAAGAAUAGUGUUCUGGGCCACCUGUGAAAUAUAGAACUCUCUUUUUUCACUGAAACAGAAAGGGGAGAGGAGGAAGUGAGCCCCAGUGGGCUCUUACUUCAAGCACCCAGUCACACUCUCCAAAGACAGUGGCAGAUAGGGAGUUAGGCUGGAGUAGGAUACUAGUGAAACAAUAAUGCAAGUAUCCUUAGGGAGGGCCAAAACCUCCUAUGAAAAAUUCACUUGAUCUUAAUUUUCAGUAUGAAUACAGAGCAUGAAAGCAGGGACAUACAAAUUUUAUGGGAGAAGUAGGGAGGUAAGGGAACUUUUUUGGUUUUGAGAGAUGGAGAAUUAAAGUACCAACUGGAAAGUUAUUCUCAGAAUAGCCACAG